rnacentral:rRNA from 1 species
AUUGAACGCUGGCGGCAGGCCUAACACAUGCAAGUCGAACGAGUGGCGGACGGGUGAGUAAUGUCUGGGAAACUGCCCGAUGGAGGGGGAUAACUACUGGAAACGGUAGCUAAUACCGCAUACUAUCAGAUGUGCCAAGGUGGGAUUAGCUAGUUGGUGGGGUAACGGCUUACCAAGGCGACGAUCCCUAACUGGUCUGAGAGGAUGACCAGCCACACUGGAACUGAGACACGGUCCAGACUCCUACGGGAGGCAGCAGUGGGGAAUAUUGGACAAUGGGCGAAAGCCUGAUCCAGCCAUGCCGCGUGUGUGAAGAAGGUCUUCGGAUUGUAAAGCACUUUAAGCUGGGAGGCGUUACCAACAGAAGAAGCACCGGCUAACUUCGUGCCAGCAGCCGCGGUAAUUC